AUGAACGCUGGCGGCGUGCCUCAUACAUGCAAGUCGAGCGAACGGACGAGAAGCUUGCUUUUCUGAUGUUAGCGGCGGACGGGUGAGUAACACGUGGAUAACCUACCUAUAAGACUGGGAUAACUUCGGGAAACCGGAGCUAAUACCGGAUAAUAUUUUGAACCGCAUGGUUCAAAAGUGAAAGACGGUCUUGCUGUCACUUAUAGAUGGAUCCGCGCUGCAUUAGCUAGUUGGUAAGGUAACGGCUUACCAAGGCAACGAUGCAUAGCCGACCUGAGAGGGUGAUCGGCCACACUGGAACUGAGACACGGUCCAGACUCCUACGGGAGGCAGCAGUAGGGAAUCUUCCGCAAUGGGCGAAAGCCUGACGGAGCAACGCCGCGUGAGUGAUGAAGGUCUUCGGAUCGUAAAACUCUGUUAUUAGGGAAGAACAUAUGUGUAAGUAACUGUGAACAUCUUGACGGUACCUAAUCAGAAAGCCACGGCUAACUACGUG
rnacentral:rRNA from 1 species